rnacentral:rRNA from 1 species
GGAGUUUGGACCGUGUCUCAGUUCCAAUGUGGCCGAUCACCCUCUCAGGUCGGCUACUGAUCGCUGCCUUGGUAGGCCGUUACCCCACCAACUAACUAAUCAGACGCAGGCCCAUCCCUUGCCGAUAAAUCUUUGGCGCAUGUGAGAUGUCUCACUUGCGCAUUAUGAGGUUUUAAUCCCGGUUUCCCGAGGCUAUCCCUCUGCAAGGGGCAGGUUGCCUACGCGUUACUCACCCGUCCGCCGCUUUCCGCUCGAUCACGCAACCGAAGUAUUGGUCAUGAGUUUCUCGCUCGACUUGCAUGUGUUAGGCACGCCGCCAGCGUUCAUC